UUGGGAGAGGUUUUGAAAGUGGAUAAUCUCAUUACACACAGCAUUAUUAUACUAAGUUGAUGUAGAAUGUCCAAAUCUAGUGAAGAAAAUUGAUCAUAGGUUAAUACAUUGUUCAGUGGCAUGUCUAAAUCUCAUUAGGUAGGAACUUACUUGUUUUCGUUCGCUCUUUCUUUCAUUCUUUUGGGUUCAUUAGGUUAUUCCCAUGAGGGCUGUUAGUGCUUCAAUGGGGAAGAGGAGUGUUUGAUCACAACAACAAAACUUUGAUAUGGAAAGCUGUCCUGCUGUGUAUUAUUGGACUAUUUGCGUAAAAGAAACAGCAGGACUUUCAAUGGGAGGAGCUGUCAUUGGUGAAGUGGAAAGCUUUCUUUUUACAAUCUCUUUUAUGAAUGAAAACAUUUUUGGGCAAUCUACCAUCUAUAUUUCCGGAAUUUAAUGAAUGUUAAAUUUCCUGUUGUAAUGUUUUAGAGGCAUCCUUGCAUACUUCAUAUACCCCUGCAAGUGUUUUCAUUUUUAAUAAUAUUACUCUUACUUAUCAAAAACAUAUGAAGACAAAUGUGAUUGACUAUGCUGCUUAAAAUGCAUGGUUUCAAAAAUGAAGGGUUAGAGAGAUUGCUUACAACUUAUGUACAAAUGGCUUUGCCAUUAUGUGUGCUUUCAUUUUUUUUUUUUUUUUAAUAUUGCUCUUACUAAUAGAAAACAUUUGAAGGAAAUUUUGAAUAACUAUGCUGCUUAAAAUGUAUGGUAUAAAAUAUGAAGGGUUAAUAAAGAGAUUGAUUCCAAAUUGUGAACAAAUGGCUUUGCAAAAUAAAAGAGAUCUGAUGAGGUAAAUUUACUACCUUGUUACAGAUAGAGAUGCUCAUGUAUGUGGAUUUGAGCACAUUUUAUUUAUGAUGCUAGUGAUGGUUCAAAUUAAUGAGCCUGUAUUUCUUGAAACCAAAUUCCUUUGUAUAUUCGCCUUUUGGCACCUAGAAUGUUUUGGACAUUGUUAGAUGAACUUUAAUUUCCUUUUAUGCAGGUUGCUGUAGCAAAAGAAUCACCUCAUGGAAUUCUCGUUAAAGGUAUUUUCUUUUCCUUGCUUCUCUCUCAAGAACUAAGGGCAAAGUAAGGACAGAGCGACCCUUCAGUCCUAAGGCAAGUUUAGGAUUCUUCAGAAACCAAGGAUAGUCAUGGUCAUUCACAGAGAUUAAAAAGCUUUGGGUUCAACAUUUUAGGGUGGACAUGUGGAAUGGCAUGCCUAAGAAUUUUCUUAACUUCUAUAUAAGUUAAUGGCAGCUCUCAAAAGGAAGUGAAGUCUUAUCUGGAUAAUGUGGUAGGUGAAGAAAGAGAGGAUACACAAAGCAAAGUUGUAUGGAACAUUAUCUGGUCCUGGUCUGAGACCUGCACUCUGUAAAUUCUGCAUUUACUGAACUAUUUCUAUUAUCCUUGAACUUUCUACA